GGCGGAAGGAAGGAAGGAAGGAAGGAAGGAAGGAAGGAAGGAAGGAUAGAAGGAAGGAAUUUGAUUUUGUAGGAAAGAUGUUUUUAAUUCACCAGCUCAAGCAAUGGAGCCUUUCACAGAUUAAAGCAAUACUAAACAUGCACUAGCUCUUUGAGUUGUGGUCAUUUGCCUGAGACUACCAAUUCAUUUUACAAAGUCUGCUGAACAGCAAUCAGAUAAUAAUGACUUUUUGUUAAACAUUUGCUUCAGAGGAGCUUGUCUGAGUCACUGCAACCUUCAAGUGAUGACAGAUUCCAGAGGAAAGAAGCUCUGUAACACUAGAGUCUUGUGCUCUGGUGUGCAGUAGAGUGGGGAACAAGAGGUGUUUCAGUCCCACUUCAAAAAAGGAAGAGAUUUCAGUCUGAGAAAAAUACAAACAUAUGGCAUUUGAAAGAAGUAGCCAAAAGAGUUCAGGAUCCAACUAAUUUUUUAUUGAAAAUAAGUCUUUAAUAUCACUUCAUAUGUAGCAACAUAUAUUAACCUGGUUGUGCACUUCAAGAAUAUAAAAACCUCACACACAUUCUAAGUCUUUUGAUGGUCACAGGAAAGGAUCACAUAAUUUUAAUCACAACCGAGUUUAGCAGCAAAAUACUUGAAAAUAUUGAAUGUGUCAUCACAUCCUCCUCCCAGUCCAGGUCUUUUUCCCUUGUUCAAUUAUUAAAGCAUGCCAACAAAUAUCACCACAUUGAAUUUUGUUUAAAGAGAAAUUGUUUAAAUGAUGAAUGUUUUAUCACAGGGGUCUUGUUUUAAAGUGGUGAGCUUUUUCUUUUCUUUUUCUUUCAUUCUCUUUAAAAGUAGUAAGUGCAGAUGUAGAAUGGAUACACUUUAAUAAAAUCAAACAAAAAAAAAACACCUUCCAUGUAAAUUAUGCAAGAAAAUAUAAAUGCAUGAAAAAGAUUCUAUAUUUUCCCAAUGAAUAAAUAGAGAAAUGAGAAUUGAGUCCUUUCCUUCUGCAUGGAAUCACUUAGCAAAUCCAUACUUUGCCCUACUGAUGAGAACAACAAAAUAAAAUUUAAUUUUUUAUGCUCUUGAGAGUAUCAAAGAAAUCUGACAUCCAUAAAGAUAAAGGAACAGAGCAGCAUUUUACCAAGCUUGCAGACAGCUGAACAGAUGUCACAGCAGCCAGCAGUAGAACCAAUCAAGGAGUCAAAGAGAGGAAUAUACCAAGGGAACAGACCUAGGUCCAUAUGCCAAUACUAGAAGAAUUCAUCU